rnacentral:lncRNA from 13 species
CAUUAGUGAGUCAUCAGUGUAUCCUGUCCUUCACAAAUCAGAACUUUGCUUCUCAUGUUCUGACUGUCUCUGUUGACCUUCCUUUCCCAGCCCCCUUAUUUUUCUAGCUAAUUUUAACUCAUGCUUUAUAAUAUGACUCAUAUGGAACCUCUAAGGAGCCUUGCCUGGCCUUGCUGUCUCAUUUAGAGUCUCCUACUCAUUGUUCACAUAGCAUUCUGGGUCCCACAGCAUAUCUCCAUCAUGGCAUUACCUAGACUCUAUUAUGAUAAGGGGCUUGCUGAGGAAAAGGAACAUUUCUUUUUUAUCUUUAUAUUCUCUAGCAUAAUAUCUAGCACAUGAUAUUUUUUCAGAAAAUCUUUUUGAAUGAAAAGUACAUAAAUGGGAUAUGUAUUAGUUAGGAUAGGAGAGGAUUUGUUAUAAUAACAAACAGGCUAAGUUUAUUUCUCACUUAAUAGGCAUGUCUAAUAUACGUCAGAAGAAGGCUCUGCCUCCAUAACUCAAAGAUGCAAUCUGACUAGACUCCACCACCUUAUGGUGCUGCAUUGUCUAAAGCAGACAGACUUCUCAAUUAACAAGGAAGGAGAAAAAAUGCUGGAGGAGUGCAUGCUGAAAAUGAAAUUCACUGUGAUUGGAUCUGGGAAACUUGACCUAAGACAAUGUCACCUAACUAAAGGGUGGAUAGAGAAAUAUAAUGCAUCACAUUUCCAGAAAGAAAGAACUGAUACAAAGUGCUGCUCUGAUACCCAGGUUGGCUGGAGUACAGUAGCGUGAUCACCAUUUACUGUAGCCUCAAUUUCCAAGACCCAAGUGAUCCUCCCACCUCUGCUUCACAAGUAGCUGGGAACACAGGCACAUUCUACCAGGUCUGGCUGAUUUUUUUAAUGUUUUGUAUAGAUGAGUUCUCACUAUUUUGCCCAGGCUGGUCUUGAACACAUGGCCUCAAGUGAUCCUCUUGUCUCAGCCUCCCAAAGUGCUGGGGCAUGGGCCAUUGCGCCUGGCUCCAAAAUUCUAAUAUUUGAAUAUAAUUUUUGUUAAAG